rnacentral:lncRNA from 1 species
UUGACUGGAUGGUAGGGUGCUUGUAUUGUAAAAAUGGAUCAAAGUCAAUGGUUGGAGGAUUUCCAAAUUAGGAUUUCUUGAGCCACAAGUUUUUGUCAAGAACCAAAGCCAAAUGGAUUAGGGUUGAGAUGUAAGGAUCAAAUUGAUAUGUUCCAAAGGUGUGGGGCAUGAAAAACUUUGGAUUUAAGGGAUCCUCAAU